UUUCAGAUCAAAUUCUAAGGGAAUUCUGUAAUUAUCCACUACUGGAAGUCUGCUAUAAGCUGCUGUGAUACAGGCAAGAAAUGAGGUGACUUACUGGGGAAUCUAUAUUUUAGCCAUUCAUUUGACACACACAUCACUGGAACUGCCUUUCCUGGUUGCAUCUCAAAUCAUGCCUUGGCCUUCCUAGUUGUAACAACAUUACGGAUCUGAGAGGCAAAACCAGCAACAGCAGAAAAAUGGAGUUCGAAGGAGGAACCGGAAGUGAGGGGAAGGAGAUAGGAAGAGGAAGAGAGUUAGAAAGGCUGUGGGAGAACAACAGGCCCUGUAACGGCUCUGUAAGAAACUGCUAUAAU